UGCAGUCGAGCGAAUGGAUUAAGAGCUUGCUCUUAUGAAGUUAGCGGCGGACGGGUGCAGUAACACGUGGGUAACCUGCCCAUAAGACUGGGAUAACUCCGGGAAACCGGGGCUAAUACCGGAUAACAUUUUGAACCUGCAUGGUUCGAAAUUGAAAGGCGGCUUCGGCUGUCACUUAUGGAUGGACCCGCGUCGCAUUAGCUAGUUGGUGAGGUAACGGCUCACCAAGGCAACGAUGCGUAGCCGACCUGAGAGGGUGAUCGGCCACACUGGGACUGAGACACGGCCCAGACUCCUACGGGAGGCAGCAGUAGGGAAUCUUCCGCAAUGGACGAAAGUCUGACGGAGCAACGCCGCGUGAGUGAUGAAGGCUUUCGGGUCGUAAAACUCUGUUGUUAGGGAAGAACAAGUGCUAGUUGAAUAAGCUGGCACCUUGACGGUACCUAACCAGAAGGCCACGGCUAACUACGUGCCAGCAGCCGCGGUAAUACGUAGGUGGCAAGCGUUAUCCGGAAUUAUUGGGCGUAAAGCGCGCGCAGGUGGUUUCUUAAGUCUGAUGUGAAAGCCCACGGCUCAACCGUGGAGGGUCAUUGGAAACU
rnacentral:rRNA from 1 species